ACAAGGGCGAAACUGACGGAUAGUUCGGCACGAACACCUGACGUAAUGCAGUGUUGCGGAGUAUUAUGUAGUGUUCCCACAACUCGCAUUGCGUUUUUUUAUAUUUAGUUAAAAUUAUCUACUUUAUAUCCCAAAACAGCCAAUCGUUAAUGUGAUAAAAUAAGAAAUUCAAAAUACAUUUUCGCUGACAGUGCAUUUAUGUAGUUUUAAACUAAAACCUUUAAUAACUGUUUCGAAAUAUAGUGCCUGUUGCGGCUGUCAAACGAUUAUAAGGUAGUAUAAAAACUUCAAUUACAACCAUAAAAACGACAUCUAGAGACGACUCGAGUUCCUCAAAUACUGCGCAAACACAGCAGCUGUUUACCCACUUUUAAAGACGUAGGGGUGAUCUUUAAUAAGGAACAAAAUUCCAUGUAAACAUACUACAUGGAAUGCUUUUGUUGUACAAUUUCGAACACAACUGUAUCACAUACUUCACAUACAAAAAUCCGUAAAGUUACAAGAAGAAGGCCAGGUGCCAGUGUUGGUGUUACUGUCAAAGCUGCAAGUGAAGCUUUUACACUUGGCUCACCAUAUAAAGAACCAUGUUGUCAACAAGCUUACUAAUCAACUGAGCAUACUCUUGCGAUGGUUUAGAAACCUUGGACAAUGGGAAACCAUAUAAUGUUUCAUAUAAUAUCCAACCCGCCCAAUUAGACUACAUCUGGGCAAAGUCAAACUGGUCCAAUUAAGCGGGGUUGACUAUAUAUUUAUCUAAAAAAUAUAUUUGUUUAACUUAUUAUAAUUACCUCUUCCAUUAUUUCCACAUAAUCCUUUCGACAUUCAUUAACUAAAUUUGAUAAAUCCUAAACGGGCUUUUCCUUUAAAUGAAUGGCAUGUAUGUUGUGAUAUUUGUCUGAAUAAGAUAAGGUAAAUGAAAUAAUAUGUUAAACUUCUGCCAUAAAUACAGUAGGGUGGGGCAAGAUGGCCCACGUACCUAUUUUAAACUAUCAUUUUAUCGUUCUUUAUUUGAUGAUAAUGUUACAAUACUGCUCGAUAUCAACCUCAUAAGUUGAAUACCUAUGAUCGAGUUACAAGUUGCGGCAUAAUAUUAAUAUAAAACUUUCAACCACGUGUACCAUCUUGCCCCACUUUGUAGUUUACAAGUAUUUACUUAACUCCAAUGCAAGUCAUGCAACCAUAUAAGAAGCGUUAACCACAAUCAGCUCCACACAACAGUUUACUAGUAUGCGGCAGUGGCGUUAACCGUAAGGUUGUCAUAGCUUUUAGGAUAACAUGGAAUAUAUCAAGUUGCCCAACGACCGACCAGACGACAAAUAAUUUAGAUACCAAGAUAGCCUAGCUCUAAUGAAAGGAUUGAAUGCAAGUUUUUCAUCUUCUUUUUCGAGUUGGACAGUAUUUUAUUCUGACAUUACGCAGUACGAUGAUUUUGCAACUUUUUUCUCUUCACUAUAUUUACUACCAAAGAAAAAUCGGUGAGUGCAUAUACGCUCAAUGGUGGUGAUUGUAGACAUGACUAUAUGAUAAAACGAAACACAGUAGACAACAACCGACUCCGAAGAGACUUCACCCAGGAUGACCCCCACGACACCGAUGACGACAUAAGAAGAAGCCUCAAUAGCGGAGAUGUACGUCACUUCCACAUGGAUGGUCAUUGAAGCUCUAGAGACGGCUCUGGACUUGGCUAGUAUCUCGCCUAGGCUGCUAUGUUCGUCUACGCGGCGAAGUUAGGCACCGAGAAGCUUAAGUGCGUCCCAAACAGUUCCACGGUUGCUAGGUACCGAUGAGCCAACAGCGUUCGAAGCUACAGAGACUAGCAAUGUCGUAACAACCAGCUCGUUUCGUGGCCCACGAACCAUGAGGAAUUCAUAUAUUCCGUCCACAGAAACAGUUUGAAGUAAAUAUUAUUGUUGAAAAAUAUGUACACUACAUUGGUUGUUGUAUGGUGUUAUAGACCAUUAGCAUGCAUUUUCGUGAUUUUCUUAACAAACAAAUUACAUUGAGUUUCUAUUAACUAAAGUAUACGUGUAUAUAUUAGCAUACUACAAUUCAAUUUAUGGUUUUCUUGAUUAAACAGAGCAAGCGUCCUACCGACAACAACUUUACAUACAAAUCAAAUACUUUAGUUAAAAUAACUCAAAUGUGCUUUUUGUGUUAAGUUCUUGUAUGGCCGUAGAACGUUUAUUCUGUUUAAUCAGAAUAAACAUAAAUUUAACCUUAACCAAUUCAUAGCUGUUUCUGCCCUGAUAUGCAAAAACUGUUGUGAAUGCAGACUUUUCAAAGUGGCUG